rnacentral:misc_RNA from 1 species
GAUGAAGAACGUAGUGAAAUGCGAUACUUGGUGUGAAUUGCAGAAUCCCGUGAACCAUCGAGUCUUUGAACGCAAGUUGCGCCCGAAGCCAUUAGGCCGAGGGCACGCCUGCCUGGGCGUCACACGUCGUUGCCCCCCCCAUCUACUCCUUCGGGAUUGCGGGGGGCGGAUGAUGGCCUCCCGUGUGCCUCGCCGCGCGGUUGGCAUAAAUGCCAAGUCCUCGGCGACGCACGCCACGACAAUCGGUGGUUGCGAAACCUCGGUUGCCCGUCGUGUGCGGUCGUCGCGCAUCGAGGGCUCGAAAAAAUUGCCGGGUUCCGGCUCGGCUUUCAACGCGACCCCAGGUCAGGCGGGGUUACCCGCUGAAUUUAAGCAUAUCAAUAAGCGGAGGA